CGAUGGUCGUUAGCUAGAGUUGACAAGAACAUAAUUAUUGGAACUUUGCUGCGUUGUAACCAUAAUCACAGGUGCUUGGAAACCUCGGACCACAGCACUAUUCAUUUCAACCCGGAUCAUCACACUAUAUACCGCUUGAAGACAAUUCGUCGUUCGUUGAUUGACAAUCCAAGGAGUCGUUUCAUCGACAAAUUUCUAGAGAACAGACGACAACAUUUGGC